rnacentral:snRNA from 1 species
AGCAAAGGAGUGGCAGUAUCGUAGCCAAUGAGGUUAAUCCGAGGCACGAUUAUUGCUAAUUGCAAAG